rnacentral:rRNA from 1 species
GAUGAACGCUGGCGGCGUGCCUAAUACAUGCAAGUCGAGCGAACGGACGAGAAGCUUGCUUCUCUGAUGUUAGCGGCGGACGGGUGAGUAACACGUGGAUAACCUACCUAUAAGACUGGGAUAACUUCGGGAAACCGGAGCUAAUACCGGAUAAUAUUUUGAACCGCAUGGUUCAAAAGUGAAAGACGGCCUUGCUGUCACUUAUAGAUGGAUCCGCGCUGCAUUAGCUAGUUGGUAAGGUAACGGCUUACCAAGGCAACGAUGCAUAGCCGACCUGAGAGGGUGAUCGGCCACACUGAAACUGAGACACGGUCCAGACUCCUACGGGAGGCCGCAGUAGGGAAUCUUCCGCAAUGGGCGAAAGCCUGACGGAGCAACGCCGCGUGAGUGAUGAAGGUCUUCGGAUCGUAAAACUCUGUUAUUAGGGAAGAACAUAUGUGUAGUAACUGUGCACAUCUUGACGGUACCUAAUCAGAAAGCCACGGCUAACUACGUG